rnacentral:misc_RNA from 1 species
AACGCACGAGACCUGCGGACCUGCGGAGGGAUCAUUAGUGAACGCCCUCACGGGCUUAUAACUAUUCCAAACCUCUGUGAACCGUGCCCUUCGGGGCUGUUUUACAAACAUGGUGUAAUGAACGUCAUAUAUCAUAACAAAACAAAACUUUCAACAACGGAUCUCU